CCAGACUCCUACGGGAGGCAGCAGUGGGGAAUAUUGCACAAUGGGGGAAACCCUGAUGCAGCGACGCCGCGUGAAGGAAGAAGUAUCUCGGUAUGUAAACUUCUAUCAGCAGGGAAGAAAACAGACGGUACCUGACUAAGAAGCCUCGGCUAACUACGUGCCAGCAGCCGCGGUAAUACGUAGGAGGCAAGCGUUAUCCGGAAUGACUGGGCGUAAAGGGUGCGUAGGUGGUUUGACAAGUUAGUAGCGCAACUCCGGAGCUUAACUUCGGAACUACUACUAAAACUGUUGGACUUGAGUGCAGGAGGGGCAAGCGGAAUUCCUAGUGUAGCGGUGGAAUGCGUAGAUAUUAGGAGGAACACCAGUGGCGAAGGCGGAUUGCUAGACUGUAACUGACACUGAGGCACGAAAGCGUGGGGAGCAAACAGGAUUAGAUGCCCCUGUA
rnacentral:rRNA from 1 species